GCGGGGAUAGCUCAGCUGGGAGAGCGUCAGACUGAAGUCCACUUCAUUCAAACAUCUGAAGGCCGUGCGUUCGAUCCGCACUCACCGCA